GAAGCUUUGACAUGUGCACACAAACCCAGACGUCACCUGUUGCUGUCAAGGUGCACAGGUGGACAGAAACCACAGAUCUCGUUGAAUCUAAGGACAGUGACACCCAUGUGCAAGAGUUUCCUGCAACAUGACGGCACAUUUGUGGAUCGCUCCACUAGCUCUACUGCUGUGCGAGAGCCGUAUUACAGAAGGUGCAUUGAGCGCUGGUGCACCAAUAGGUUGAAGACAAACCCAGGAAGAUUAUUCCAUGUUUCUAAAGAGAACAGGUGACGCUGCCAGCCCUGGCCACCUGCGGGAGCCGCCGCCUCAGCCAUGGCUGUCUGGGAUAUGAAGAGUUCAAAUUUAUAUUUUACAGACCCGAUCAAGUUCCCCUGCUGCUUUAGUGAGGCCACUUCCCAGUCAACACAGGCAGAGCAGCUCCCUUGGCCGAGGGUCUCCAGGGAGAUGCAGUCAGAGAUCCAACAUUCAACUACACGGCCACUCAGUUCACUCAACAGCAGCAGUUGCAGCCCCAUUCAGUCAACAGCAGCAACAAGCAGUUGAGUCAGCAACCAUGGCCAGAGGGAGGUAUGAUUCUAGUCCCCGUGAGUUUGACGGGAGCCAACCUUCAAGGGGUGCCAGGGUGUCUUACAGCUGAUGAUUCCUUCUGCCAGAGGCAACUGCCCAGCGCAAGUGGGAACCAGUGCCAUUUUUUUUGAAGAGGAAAUCUCUCCUGUUGCCGCAGUGAAGUGAACGAGUGUCGCAUACGUCUGCACAUUUUACUUGCAAGCAUUUCGGGAGAUAAGAUCCCUCGCCGCCCAUGUGGAGGAGUGCCCGUGCUCGCAGCCAUAUCAGUGUCACUUGUGCUCUAGUCAUUGCUCAGACUGGAACAGGACGCAGAUCCAUCUCGGGGAAUAGGCAACAACGUGCCCUUUUUGCCAGCAUACAAUUGACACAAGGACCUGGGAGACGAUGCCACGCAUAAAGCGGCACGUGGCUGUCGAGCAAUUCAUGUGCAGCGUCUUCCAAUCAUUCAUGAAUGGGUAUAAUCUUGUUGCGCACGUUCGCUAGCGCCACCUGGUGCAAAAUUUAUACAAAAUUUAUACAAGUGCGGCUGGUAUCCAAAGUCAUGUUUUAUAAGAAAAGUCUGUGAAUUCAUGUUUGUUCGACUCACUGGUGAUCAGCUUGGCUGCUUGGGUAGCUUUGAGGGCAAAGCGACAUUCCGAUGGCACAUGUGGUAUCAUGAUUGUUGAGAAACAGCAGUGUACAAGUGUCCUGUGUCCUCACAUGAGCUUGUGAAUGAGUGGAGCCAAUUUAAUCGGGUUUUCAAUAACUUCAGGUUCAAGCUAUUCAUUUCACAAUAUUUUGUGCAAACUCAGAACUGUCUCAAAAAUCUUUUACUGAGCAGAGGUUCAGCUUGAUUCCUGACCAGCCUCCCUUUGCAAACAAGCCGCCCAAAUUUAGUUUGUAUUGUUUUGAGUUGACUGUUAAUCGGCAUUUUAGGGUGUUGAUCAGUAAGGUAGCACCAGGUAUGUGCCCGUCUGGUAUGGUAUAGCAACUGCGCAUUGUGGUCACUGUGUAGAGAGAUGUGCAUGCAUUGUAAUUGCAGUAAUUUUCUAAUUAUCACUUGUGGGGGAGUCGCGGCGCUGAGGACCCAGGCGGCUGUACUCAACCGGCACUCUACUGUUGUUGUUCCUUGUCUAUGCCACACAGUCACUGGGGCUGUCAGCUCUUGUGCACUUGACAUCAUCUCCCCACACAUUGUAGUUGCUUAUUUAAGACAUGCAAUUUCUUCCAAAAUCUUUACAUAGUGCAGCUCUUGCACGAGUGAGGCAUAUGGCUUUCUGCUGACACUGUGCCAAGACUCCUCGGGUUGUAGAACCACUGACGACAUCUUUUGUAAAUAUGUAAUUAAUAUUGGGUACCAAUAUUGUUGUUACUGAGAUUCAUUUCUUUUGAUACAUGCUUUGGUAAUUAAUUAAUUAAUUGUAAUUAAUUAUCUAACUCACGAAGUACUGUCCUAAUUAUCAAAGUGUCAAUGAUAAAGUUGUAGAGCAACAUGAAAAACUCCCGAUACAGCUUUCUGUUGCUCAAUACGUACUACAUAAAUGUGUUUUUCCGAGCAUGAAAGAAGCCCGCGAAUACAAGCGCAAAGUGCCUCGAGCGGCCAGUCGUGCGGCAAUCCUGCGUGAAUUCGUGGGCUUCUUUCACGCUCGGAAAAACACAUGUAUGUAGUACGUAUUGAGCAACAGAAAGCUGUAUCGGGAGUUUUUCAUGUUGCUCUACAACUUUCUCAUUGACACUUUGAUAAUUAGGACAGUACUUCUCGAGUUAGAUAAUUAAUUACAAUUAAUUAAAUCUCAGUAACGAAAAAAUUACUGGCGGCUACUCCACUGUACUGAAAACAAUACGCACUAGGUUGGCUUCGCGUAACGCCGUUCCUCUUUUUUAAAUUGUACUGCGUGAUAGCUGGGACACCCUGCAUAGGUGUUCUGUGGUACUGCUACAAAUGACAGGUUUACUAAAGGGACCAUGCAAAGGAAAUUUUCGGCACAUGUUCAAUGCUGUGUUCUGCCAGCAGUGGUGAAGUAGUAUUUCUUUUAUUCCUUGUUUUGCCUAGUUAUUGUUCAUGUGGUUUCGGCUGGUGAUGUAAAUCUUUUUAUGAAAAGAUGCGGCAUUAUAUAUGUACAUCGAGUCAAAAUUUAAUUGCUCUGUAUUAACAAGGGUUCGCUAAACAAUGCAUAAAGGAUAUUCCUGCCAUCUUUGCGUCAUUUCAAGAGAGUGUCGAGCUCUGCGGAAUAAAAUCAUCUGACUUCGACACAUUUAUUGACAGCGCACCAUAACUCAUGUAUGAAUAGGGGCCGUGUACAUACGGAGCGAGAUCACAUUUCAUUUAUGUAGUAUUGCCAGUAUUUUGCUGCAACAGAAAAUAUAAAUAAAGUCCUCAUUGACAAGUUCGACAUCUAAUCAUUCAUUUAAACAAUUGCAGUAUACAGGUUUGAGUGAAGCAUUUUUAUGCCUUAAUGAAGCACAAUUAAGUUACUGCAUGAUGUUCUUUUGGAAAUAUCAGCGCAUUAUUUGCGUGCAAGAAAAAAAAAUGAGGACUUGGUUAUUAAUUAUAAGCAGCAAACAGCUAUAUUACCGUAUUCCAGUUGUAGACUUAGUUGUGCAGAUUUACGUUUUAUCUGCCAGUUGGCAACUGCUAUAUUAAAACAACAUUGGCCGAAUAAGAAUAAAGAAGAAUAAAUUAUUUUAGUCAAUUUCUUCUUGAACUUUGACUACAAUCUUUACCACCUUAAGUGUGUGUUGGAUGUAAUUAUUUUUGAGACCUAUCUUCACAUUCUGCCUCCACCUCAUCCACCUUAGCAUCCUCAAUUCAGUCACUUCUGUCUUCCAGACGAUUUUAUUAAAAUUGUUUUGGUUCCAUACAGUAUUGCUGGUCAUGUAUUCUUACAAGUUUAUUAGUGCAGAUCUUUCAACU